rnacentral:tRNA from 1 species
AACAAAUUAAUCUGAUAUUUCUAAUUUCAAUUAAGGUUAAACCUGUUUGUUU